ACAAUAAAACUAGGUCCUGGCCGGGUUCGAACCGGCGACCUUCUGCGUGUGAAGCAGACGUGAUAACCACUACACCACAGGACC
ensembl:ncRNA F59C12.9 ncRNA